GCGUCUGUGGCUCAGUUGGUAGAGCAUCGUGUUUGCAACGCCAGGGUUGUGGGUUCGAUUCCCACGGGGGGCC
rnacentral:tRNA from 1 species